CCAGAUGGUUGGGCAAUCGCGGGAAGAGUAGUUUUUCCGAGGAAAGUCCGGGCUCCGUGAAGCACAGUGGCGGGUAACGCCCGCCGAGAGCGAUCUCAGGGAAAGUGCCACAGAAAAGAUACUACCCGCGUUGUGCGGGAAAAGGUGAAAAGGUGCGGUAAGAGCGCACCGCGCGGCUGGUAACAGGCGUGGCAGGGUAAACCCCACUGGGAGCAAGACCAAAUAGGGAUGGCUGCAUUGCGCCGAUAUGCUUCAUAUCGUUAGCCGUCCGGGUAGGUUGCACGAGCAUAUUAGCAAUAAUAUGCCUAGAUGAAUGGUUGCCCGCGCAUCAUGCGUAGACAGAACCCGGCUUAUAGACCGUCUGGCCUA
rnacentral:RNase_P_RNA from 1 species